rnacentral:lncRNA from 1 species
CACGAUCUCAGCUCACCGCAACCUCCGCCUGCUGGGUUCAAGCGAUUCUCCUGCCUCAGCUUCCCAAGUAGCUGGGACUACAGGUGUGAGCCACCACACCUGGCUAACUUUUGUAUCUUUUGUAGAGAUGGGGCUUCACCAUGUUGGCCAGGCUGGUCUUGAACUCAAACUCCUGACCUCAGGUGAUCUGCAUACCUUGGCCUCCCAAAGUGCUAAGAUUACAGGCAUAAGCCACCGCAUGUGGCUCUAUCCAGCCUUUUACAGAAAAAGUUUGCUGACUAUUCUACAUCAUUGACCACCCUACACUGGGUUCUUUCAGAGUACUUAAUAGAGCACACAUACUGUCGAUGCCUCAGUUGGACCACGAUUGCUCUCAUAGGAUCUAAUGUGAUGAGACAAAAAGUCCAACAGACUUAGAUUUUAACGCUGAGCUCACUCCUUUACCAAAUGAGCCACGUUGAGCAAGUAAUUUAAUUGCUUCAAGUUUCUUGGGGUUUUUCUGUUUUUUGUGGUUUUUUGUUUUUUUUUUUUUGAGACAGAGUCUCACUCUGUUGCUUAGGCUAGAGUGGUGUCACAAUCUCAGCUUACUGCAACUUCUGCCUCCUGGGGUCAAGCAAUUCUCCUGUCUCAGCCCCCCGAGUAAGCUGGGACUACAGGUGCCUGCCACCAUGCCCAGCUAAUUUUUGUAUUUUUAGUAGAGAUGGGGUUUCACCUUGUCAGUCAGUCUGGUCUCGAACUCCUGACCUCAGGUGAUCCAUCCACCUUGGCCUCCCAAAGUACUGGGAUUACAGGCGUGAGCCACCAUGCCCAGCCCAAGUUUUAUUUUAUAAUGUAAAGAAAAAAGGGGAUGAUAAUACCUCACAAGAUUGUUGUAAAGUCUAAAAAAGUCUAAUGUAAAGUCUUAAAAAGUCCUCUUUUUCUUUUUUUCAUUUAAUUUUUUUUAGAGACAAUCUUGCUAUGCUGCCCAGGCUGGCUGGAGUGCAGUGGCUUCUCACAGUGGGUGGCACUGUACACAGUUGGCUGUAUCUCCCUCGGUGCUGAAGAGUGGAAACAGAGCAUUAAAGUUGGAAGGGACUUUCGAAUUGAUGUGACCCAUACUGAGGAAGAAUUCAUGGCAAAAGCAGAAUCUAAACUCUGACCUCCCAUCCUCCCAUUCCAGAAUUUUUUGCUUAGUGCCACAAGGCCUCACUACAAGUGUGCAGAUGCUCAAUAAACACUUGAGGAUGCUGUACACUCUCAUUUCCAUUCUGCUUUUAUGCUUAGUUUCUGCUUAGCAUUGUGGCAGCUUAGAAGCACUGUUGUAAAGCAGGGCUUUCGAAUCAGACAAACUAAGACUUGAAUCCUGGCUCUACCAUGCACCAGCUCUGUGACCUCUUACAAUCCUAUCAGCUCCAUCUUCAAAGUAUAACCGCAUCUCUGGCCACACCACUGUGAACAUGCAUGAAUUCCUCAAAACACGUAUCAAAUCUGACAUUUCUUGUCACCUCCACCAUUAUCAGCCUAAGUCAAGACACAGAUUUUUUCCUGGACCACAGCAAUAGGCUUCUGACAGGUCACCUGGCCUCUGUUCUUGUUCCUCUACAGUCUAUUCUGCAUACAGUACCUUAAGGAAGAAAUGUAAACCAGAGUGUCACUGUUCUCUCAAAUCCCCCAGUGGCUUCCUGUCCCACCAAUAUGGCCCUGAGUGAUUUUCCCUUGCUCUGUUGGCUGCAGCCUCACUGGCCUCCUUAUUUCCCCCCUUAGCACUUGCUACUUCCCCAGCCAGGGAUGCCUUUCACACUGACCUCACUUCCUUAUUCCAUCCAGACCUCUGUUCAGACAUCUCCUCAGAGAGCGCUCCUUGACCACCCAACCUAAUAUGGCCCUCUCAUCACUUUUCUUCCCUUAUCCCACUAACUUUUCUUCAUAGCACUUCAAUGCAACAGACAUUAUGUACAUACUUACUUGUUUAUUUAUUUACUAUUCCCACCAACCUCCAGGUUGUAAGCUCCACAUUUUGCUCACUGUGAUAUUCCUAGUUCUUAAAACAUUAAGCGCUCAAAAAUUAUGCAUUGAAUGAAUGAAACUCCUUAACCUCUCUAAUCCCCACUUUGCUAAUCUAAAAAAUGAGAAUAAUAUUUACCACAAAGUUAUUGUGAAAUUAAACAAAAAAUGAAAUAAUGUAUAUAAAUAGAACAUUAAAAAUGCUCAAUAAGUGUAGCUGUUAUUGUUCACUUUUUGUUGUUUUGCCACAUAUUAUUAUGCUAAACUAAAGCAAAAUAAUCCUUCUAUCCUAUUUCCAAAGGACAUAUUCUUUAAUUAUGAGGCAAUCCCUAGUUUUGAAAGUUAGCAUUAUACAUUUCUUUAAUUUGCAUAUGCUAUAUUUUAAAAUAUUGGGCUUCUGUAACUGAGAAUAGAUUUUUGCUUGUAUACUUCUAAUGUAUUAAAAUAAAAAUUUUGGCCAGGCACAGUGGCUCAUGCCUGUAAUCCCAGCACUUUGGCAGGUCGAGGCGGGUGGAUCACGAGAUCAGGAGUUCGAGACCAGUCUGGCCAACAGAGUGAAACCCCAUCUCUACUAAAAAUACAAAAAAUUAGCCGGGUGUGGUGGUGUGCGCCUGUAAUCCCAGCUACUCAGGAGGCUGAGGCAGGAGAAUCGCGUGAACCCGGGAGGCAAAGGUUGCAGUGAGCCAAGAUCAUGCCAUUGCACUCCAGCCGGAUGACAGUGCGAGAUUCUGUCUCAAAAAUAAAUAAGUAAAAUAAAAAUUUUUGGCCAGGUGAGGUGGCUCACAGUAGUCCCAGCUACUCAGAAGGCUGAGGUGGGAGGAUCAUUCAAACCCAGAAAUUCAAGGUUGUAGGGAGCCAUGAUCGUGCCAUUGCACUCAAGCCCGGACGAAAGAGCAAGACCCUACUAUCUCAAAAAUAAGUAAAUAAAUAUUAAAAAUAUAAAGCUUUAUAUCAGUGUCAUGUCAAAUCUUUUUUUUUGUUAACUCGGUUUUUUGGCCUCCAAAAGUGCUGGCAUUACAAACAUGAGCCCCUACACCCAGCCCAGAAUAAGCAUUCUAAAGACCUCUUAUUGUUGUAAUUGUAGAAUUAUUCAAGGGCCUCAGCAGAAACCUUACAAGCCAGAAGGGAUUGGGAUCCUAUCUUCAGCCUCCUUAAACUGAGUAACAGUCAGC